rnacentral:piRNA from 1 species
UACCACUGAGUGAUAUUCAAGUGCUUGGC